UACGUAGGGAGCAAGCGUUAUCCGGAAUCAUUGGGCGUAAAGCGCGCGUAGGUGGCCUCAUAAGUCCGCUGUGAAAGUCAAAGGCUCAACCUUUGAAAGCCGGUGGAUACUGUGAGGCUAGAGUACGGAAGAGGCGAGUGGAAUUCCUGGUGUAGCGGUGGAAUGCGCAGAUAUCAGGAGGAACACCAGUGGCGAAGGCGGUUGCCUGGGGCUUUGCUGACGCUGAUGCGCGAAAGCGUGGGGAGCGAUCCGG
rnacentral:rRNA from 1 species